CAGGCUACAAACAGGCUCUGUUUGCUGUGGCUGGGUGUGGAGGCUUCUCGGCCCUCUGCUGCAUCUGUUUGUGCUGGAUGAAACACAGAAAGAGAAAGAAACUUACCCAAGCAAGGCAGCCUGAAGAACAGUCAAGUCCACCCAGUGAGGCAAUGGCAUGAUGGAGGACUAGGAGCCUAAUUUAUGUUUUAUAAAGAAUAUAUAUUCACCAUGAUCUAAG